UGGCAAUGGUGAUAAAAUGGUCGUGCUUACAACUGCUUUGGAUUUCAUCCAAUUAGUAGUAGAAUGAUGAGACUUAUUGAAGGUGUUUGGUGAGCCAG